rnacentral:sRNA from 1 species
UUGCUUACUUUCCUUCUUCCCUCCUUCCCUCUUUCUUCAUUUCCUUUCUUAACUCUAUUAGUGGCCACUGGAUUUCCAGCUGGACAGACUCAUUUGAAGACACGAUUAGAAGAGAUCAGACUGGCUGUGGAAGAUGGAGCUACAGAAAUCGACGUGGUAAUUAACAGAAGCUUGGUGCUGACAGGCCAGUGGGGAGCCCUGUAUGAUGAGAUUCGUCAGUUUCGCAAGGCCUGUGGGGAGGCUCAUCUUAAAACUAUAUUAGCGACAGGAGAACUUGGAUCUCUUACUAAUGUCUAUAAAGCCAGUAUGAUAGCAAUGAUGGCAGGAUCAGAUUUUAUUAAGACCUCUACUGGAAAAGAAACAGUAAAUGCCACCUUCCCGGUAGCUAUAGUAAUGCUGCGGGCCAUUAGAGAUUUCUUCUGGAAAACUGGAAACAAGAUAGGGUUUAAACCAGCAGGAGGCAUCCGCAGUGCAAAGGAUUCCCUUGCUUGGCUCUCUCUUGUAAAGGAGGAGCUUGGAGAUGAGUGGCUGAAGCCAGAACUCUUUCGAAUAGGUGCCAGUACUCUGCUCUCGGACAUUGAGAGGCAGAUUUACCAUCAUGUGACUGGAAGAUAUGCAGCUUAUCAUGAUCUUCCAAUGUCUUAAAUUAGUCACCAGUUCCUGAAAAGAUCUUGACGACAACGUUUAAAAAUUAUUUUUCUACAUAAUUGCU